rnacentral:rRNA from 1 species
CCUACGGGAGGCAGCAGUGAGGAAUAUUGGUCAAUGGACGAGAGUCUGAACCAGCCAAGUAGCGUGAAGGAUGACUGCCCUAUGGGUUGUAAACUUCUUUUAUAUGGGAAUAAAACGUUCCACGUGUGGGAUUUUGUAUGUACCAUAUGAAUAAGGAUCGGCUAACUCCGUGCCAGCAGCCGCGGUAAUACGGAGGAUCCGAGCGUUAUGCGGAUUUAUUGGGUUUAAAGGGAGCGUAGGUGGAUUGUUAAGUCAGUUGUGAAAGUUUGCGGCUCAACCGUAAAAUUGCAGUUGAAACUGGCAGUCUUGAGUACAGUAGAGGUGGGCGGAAUUCGUGGUGUAGCGGUGAAAUGCUUAGAUAUCACGAAGAACUCCGAUUGCGAAGGCAGUUCACUGGACUGCAACUGACACUGAGGCUCGAAAGUGUGGGUAUCAAACAGGAUUAGAUACCCGAGUAGUC